UACGUAGGGCGCAAGCGUUGUCCGGAAUUAUUGGGCGUAAAGAGCUCGUAGGCGGUCUGACAAGUCUGAUGUGAAAUCUAUGGGCUCAACCCAUAGUCUGCAUCGGAAACUGUCGGGCUUGAGUAUGGGAGAGGUGAGUGGAAUUUCCGGUGUAGCGGUGAAAUGCGUAGAUAUCGGAAGGAACACCUGUGGCGAAAGCGGCUCACUGGACCAUUACUGACGCUGAGGCACGAAAGCUAGGGGAGCAAACAGG
rnacentral:rRNA from 1 species